GGGCCUUUGGCUCAAUUGGUUAGAGCAUUCGACUCAUAAUCGACAGGUUACAGGUUCAAGUCCUGUAAGGCCCA
rnacentral:tRNA from 1 species